CAGAGAGUGGCUGUAUGUAUACAGGACCAAGUUUGUAUGUUAUUUUAGAGGGUCAUAGAGAGUGUGUGUCUAGAGGCUGAAGUGUAUGUGUGUGUGUAUAUGGGAUGUAGUGUGUGCAUAGGAGCUGUAUUGUGCAAAGGGGCUGCAGUGUAGGGAUGUAAUGUGUGUAUAAUGGCUGUAGUGUAUCAGCUAUUUUUAUUUUUAGGGGCUGUAGUGUAUAGGGGUCUGCAGAGUGUGUAUAGGGUAAGUAGUGUGUGUCUAUUUGUAGAGGGCUGUAGAGAGUGUGUGUAUGUAUACAGGACAUAGUGUGGGUUUUAUUUUAGAGGGUGAAAGAGAGUUUGUAUGUCUAGAGGCUGAAAUGUGUGUGUGUGUGUGUGUGUAUAUGUAUAUGGGAUGUGUAGCGGAGAUACAAUAUUCCACAGGUUAUCUCCGCUUAAGAUCCCAGUGAGGCUCAGGAACAAGAGAUGAUAAAUCCACAAAGCAAGGUUUCCAGCAGGUAAAUUAAUCCAACAGUAUCCCAACAGCAAUCCCAAUAACUGGACGACACACAGCAUCAGGAGCAGAACUGAAAACCUUUAUUCCACAGUGGCCUUAUAAAGCAUGCUCCCAUGCAAGGGAGGGAUUUACAGCAAUUACUGCAGUGUCCAAUCAUAGUCGAGUAACCUCCCACACAUCCCCUCCCCUCAGCCUGACUCAUAAUCCCCUUAUACUGUACACAAAUUCCCUCAGUUUCUGGAUGUACCCCUAAACCUAGGGAUACCCCUUUAAAU